rnacentral:rRNA from 1 species
UGACCGUGCAAAGGUAGCGUAAUCACUUGUCUUUUAAAUAAAGACCUGUAUGAAAGGCAAAACGAAAGUUCAACUGUCUCUUUAAUCCAAUCAAUGAAAUUUAUCUUUUCGUGCAGAAGCGGAAAUAAACAUAUAAGACGAGAAGACCCUAUGGAGCUUUAAAUACACUAUCAACUACUAUAAUAUUUCAACCAACAGGAAAAAAAUAAAACCCACAUAGCCAUGAUAUAAGUUUUUGGUUGGGGCGACCGCGGAGAAAAAGAAACCCUCCGAGAUAAACAAUCUAGAAUAACACUUCAAAAAUUAAAACAUUUAUUAUAAAUGAUCCACUAAGUGACCAACGAACCAAGUUACCCUAGGGAUAACAGCGCAAUCCUUUCUAAGAGUCCCUAUCGACGAACGGGUUUACGACCUCGAUGUUGGAUCAGGACACCCAAAUGGUGCAGCCGCUAUUAAA